UAGGUGCUAAUACCGCAUAACAGAGGGAGUCGCAUGACUUCGUCUUAAAAACUCCGGUGGUGUAAGAUGGACCCGCGUCUGAUUAGCUGGUUGGCGGGGUAGCGGCCCACCAAGGCGACGAUCAGUAGCCGGCCUGAGAGGGUGAACGGCCACAUUGGGACUGAGACACGGCCCAAACUCCUACGGGAGGCAGCAGUGGGGAAUAUUGGACAAUGGGGGGAACCCUGAUCCAGCGACGCCGCGUGAGUGAAGAAGUAUUUCGGUAUGUAAAGCUCUAUCAGCAGGGAAGAAAGAAAUGACGGUACCUGACUAAGAAGCCCCGGCUAACUACGUGCCAGCAGCCGCGGUAAUACGUAGGGGGCAAGCGUUAUCCGGAUUUACUGGGUGUAAAGGGAGCGUAGACGGUAGUGCAAGUCUGGAGUGAAAGGCGGGGGCCCAACCCCCGGACUGCUCUGGAAACUGUGCGACUAGAGUGCAGGAGAGGUAAGUGGAAUUCCUAGUGUAGCGGUGGAAUGCGUAGAUAUUAGGAGGAACAUCAGUGGCGAAGGCGACUUUCUGGACUGUAACUGACGCUGAGGCACGAAAGUGUGGGGAGCAAACAGGAUUAGAUACCCUGGUAGUCCACACUGUAAACGAUGGAUACUAGGUGU
rnacentral:rRNA from 1 species